AUAUAUAUAUAUAUAUUAAAAUAUUAAUACACGAUUUGAAAUUGUUAAAUUAUGCGAGCAAACGAAGAUAAAAAGAAAUCGCGCGAAAUUAAAUUGUACUAGAAAAACUGAGCAUCGAUCAAUAUUGAUGGAAAUAGUCUCCUCUCAUAGAUAUGAAACAAAAGAGAGAGGGAGAGAAAAAAACGAAUGGACAUUAACUAUAUAUAUCUAUAGUCUUUGAAAUACCCUUUGAAUUUCUCGUUUCGAGUUUCGGCGCUUUUUAUAAACAAGAAAUGAGAUAUGCAUAAUGCUUGUCUCGUUUACAAAAAAAAGAAAACGAGUGUAAUAAUAUCGAAUAAUUACGAAUAAUUAUCGAUAAAGUACCGUUUAAACUUGCUGCGAUAGCAGCGAAAUCUAUGGUCAUGUUUCGAAGCGAUCCUUUGUAAAAUGAACGAUCAAAUUUUUUUUCCUUUUUCUCUGUAUAUAUUUUCCUUUUCUACUUUCUUAUUUUGCUAUCGUUUUUUUUUUCGACUAUACGAAAAAAGAAACAAUUGGUGUUUAACUUACGCGAGUUGUGCGGACGAUCGAAAGCGAGAUGGAGCAUUUGUUUGACGAUAUCAGUUUAACCUCUAAAGUGCAGAAGUACAAUCGUUGUAAUAUCAAUACGGAUUUCGACUUCGUGUUAAAAUUUAUCUUUCCGUCUUAUAAACACUCGACAAUGUUAUUUCAAAGAAUUGUAAAUUGAUAAAUUUCAUUUUGAUCUAAAAUUAACACUCCUUGAGAAUAAUUAAUAAAGUGAAUUCUGCCACAGUAAAGGUUAAACUAGAAACAUCUCGUAAUAGACAAAUAUAGAGGUUGCUUCACGUUAGAAUUUCUGCUCCACGAAAUUUUAUGCUAUUUCUUUUUUCCAUUUUUUUCUAUAUACACGUAUUAUAUUAUACAUGCAUUUAUAUGUAUGUAAUAUAACCAGAAUAAGCAAGAUCUUGGAAAGAGAAUCUUGUCGCUAGAGUACAACAAUCGAUCGAUCGAUUCAACUGCGAAGCCUAUCUCUAACGAAUUCGUGCACGCAGCAUUAUUUUGUCUCUUAUUUUUCCCUUCAGUCGGCGAACGCGGUCUUAGGUCGUCGAGAGGAGGCUAGCAAGCAGCCUGAGCUCGACACACACAAAGAUAGCUUUAUGACUUGCCUGCGUCCUUCCAGGAAGAACAAUCGGUCAAACCGAAUAUUCGAUUCGUCUUCUCGGUCUUCCGUUCGUCCAUAACGCGGAUCAUGCGCGUGUCCCACGCUAAAUUACGUAUGAAGAAUUAUACUAUAUGAUCCCGUAUACGUGAUACUCGUAAACGAAUAUUUAAUUUUUUUUUAACUAAAAUCCAGAAAUAUGCGCGUUCUAAAUCAAAUUGAUAUAAUAGCAACGAUCAACUUUUUCGAUAUCUACAAUAAAAAUCAAAUUUUACAUUUAAAAAAAAAAUCUCUACCCAAAUCUUAAUCUUUUUUCAACAAAGUACAUAUCGAUUUCAUUCAUUUGAUAUUAAAUUAAAUUCUGCUAAGUAUGUAAAAUAUAACGAACAAUAUUUGUCUAAUCAAUAUCCGGAAAAUUAAAAAUGUUAAAUUCAAAUUAUUACUUUUAUGAUAUUUCUGGAAAUCAGCGAGCACAUUCGUCCACGAAUGCACGUACGAAGCCUAUUGUGAGGCAGACGGACGAAUAAUUGGUCGAACAAUCGACCGGCCAUGAUGUGGGACACGCACACGUAACACACGGACCCACUAGGUCUCUCUUUUUUUCUGCGGGGAUCGCGUGACGAUCAUCGACAUCCCUCGAGAAGGCAAGGCAAGAGAGCCAGGCGAGAAAAUCGAGCCAAAGUGCUCUCCAUCGGAUGAAGGAAGACCUAUUGCAAUGACCUAAGAGUCGGUUCGGGAACCAGCACAUGUUUCCAGAAACGCGCGUACUUCUACUAUUCGUAAUUUUUUUCGAAGUCGCGUGCCUCUUUUUUAGUCUAUCUACCGAGCCAGGAAAAAAAAUUCCUUUUUUUUCUUUUUUUCUUUUUUUUUUUUUAUUAAUUUUUCUUUUAAAAUUCUUCUUGUUACUGGCGAAUCAGAAGCAAGGCUGUGUUCCGCGCCCUCUUGCGUUUGAUUAGAGAAUGGGAAAAGAUAGAGAGAGAGAGAGAGAUAACAUAGAGAAAAAAUCGAAAAAGAGAGUCAGAGAGGGCGCGACAGUCUAAGGACGCCUCGUUCCGUACCGCCAAUUAUUCGCUAUCUACUAGUCAAAACCCCUUAUUACGG
rnacentral:lncRNA from 1 species